ACUACCCCUGUAUAGUAGCCAAAGACAGCAAGGGCUCCCGCGCCGGGGUAACUCAGCGCAAAAAAGCUUAAUUAUCUUGCCGAGGUAAACCUUAAUUCGUAUAUUUUGUGGUUUAUAACUCACCGUCUUUGGUGGGUUUCUUUUUUUCGGUAG
rfam:Candidate division WWE3 bacterium GW2011_GWF1_42_14 TV00_C0021, whole genome shotgun sequence.